rnacentral:tRNA from 1 species
CGGGCUGUAGUUUAAGCGAGAUAAAACAUUAAGUUGCAAACUUGAGAACGAGUAGGACCUACUCCGGUUCGA